GGCUCAGCAGCCUGGACGCAGACGCAGCAGUGUGGAUGAUUGCAUUGAUCCAGACUUGGAAGUUGUGCGGCAGUGACCUAGGACCACAAUAAGGAAAUCUCUUGAAAGAAUAUCCCUGCAUUCUUUGUAAAAUCUACAGGUGUGGUAUCCUCUUGUGAUAUCAAGAUUUGGGGAAAUGUUCUUCAAAUGUCCCCUCGUCCUUGCAUUGACUCUGAUUCUGCAGACUCUUAGAAGAAGUAGAGUUAUCAGCCUGCAAGAGAACGUUCCAGAGAGGAUUGAGCUCACCUUCUGGAGAAUCUAGAGAAGGAUGUUUUACCAUUUCCCUCGCUGUUCUAAAUUUUAGCAGCAACACAUAAGUUCUGCACAGUCUCGGAGUCCCUUGGGAUUACGGACUGCUGGAGGGCAGGAACUAUAUGACUUUCUUUUCUCCUUCAGCUCGCUCUCACAGACCUUUAAAAUCUCAUGUGCUAAAUGACUAAACAAGUGCCCAGACUGCUCUGUGCCAGGAUUCCUGGCGCCUCCAUGCUGGUCAGUGAGCCUGAAGAGGGCAGGGUCCAGCCUCAGGCCUCCAGCUCACUCUCCUCCCGGGAAGAAGACGCCUCUACUCCGAAGGCAGCCAGCAUGUAUCUCACUCGCAACAGUCGGCAGAUGGCCUCGGAUCCCUUCUGUUCUCAGGAAUCACAUUGGGACUAACCGCGCUGUGCAUUUUCCAUCGCUGGCAGCCAUCUCAACAGUGACGUCGGGCCUCGUUAUUAAUAGGGGAGGGACAGACCCAGAGAGAGGGGAAGUGGCUUGGGCUGAGUCACACAGCAAAGUUAGAACUGCCAGCUCCCAGCGACUAACCUCGCCCUGGGCUCUAGCCCACACACCUGGCGGCUCCGGAGACUUGCUCCUUUUUGGACUCUGGGCAACAAACUCCCUGGCUAACCAAGCGGGUCUGACUUGUCCUACAGAGCCAAUGAGGCAAAAGCUUCCUGAGAAUGUUAUAUUGUGAUCUUGCUGUUUCUACUGGUUGGCAAGAAACCGACUCCCCAUUCCUUUUCGAAUGACCUUGGACACAUCAUGGAAAGUCUCUGAACCCUCAGUUUUCCCUUCAGGAAAAUGCAGACAAGAAUUCUGGGUGCCUACCCCGCCCCCGCCCCGACAGACUGUGGACGAGCUAUAGGCUGAAGAUCGGGGUGCCCUUCUCCGAUCGGGUCUGCAUUUACAUGGGUGAACUUCAAACCUGGCUGAGCAUGGUAAUCACGUGAGUGGCCUUUAAAAAUACAAAUUCCUUAGCACUGAGAACCACAUCUAGUCGCUUAUGAUGGAGAACAAUGGACGAUAAGGUGAGAAAAAGAAUGUACAUAUGUAUGUGUGACUGGGUCACCUUGCUGUGCAGGAGAAGAUUGACAGAACACUGUAAACCAGCUAUAACGGAAAAAGAUCAUUAAAAAGACACUGACUUAAGAAGAUGUAGAUAAUGUGAAUUUUUAUCAAAUAAAGAAAUGGUAUGAAAAUUUUUUUCA
rnacentral:lncRNA from 1 species